UACGUAGGGACCAAGCGUUGUUCGGAUUUACUGGGCGUAAAGGGCGCGUAGGCGGCUUAACAAGUCACUUGUGAAAUCUCCGGGCUUAACUCGGAACGGCCAAGUGAAACUGUCAAGCUAGAGUGCAGAAGGGGCAAUCGGAAUUCUUGGUGUAGCGGUGAAAUGCGUAGAUAUGCGGAGGAACACCGAUGGCGAAGGCAAUCCCCUGGGCCUGCACUGACGCUCAUGCACGAAAGCGUGGGGAGCAAACAGG
rnacentral:rRNA from 1 species